rnacentral:rRNA from 1 species
CGACGCCGCGUGAGGGUAAGAAGGUCUACGGGUGUAAACCACUUUUCUUAGUGAAGAAGUAAUGACGGUACCUGAGGAAUAAGACUCGGCUAACUACGUGCCAGCAGCCCGCGGUAAUUACGUAGGGWGCCAAGCGUUAUCCGGAUUUAUUGGGCGUAAAGAGGGGUUAGGCGGGUUUUCAAGUCGGAUGKAAAAUCUCCCGGGUUAACUUGGAGGGUGCAUUUGAUACUBGYAGSCUUGAGGGCAGGAGAGGGAGAUGGAAUUCCCGGUGUAGUGGUGGAAUGCGUAGAUAUCGGGAGGAACACCAGUGGCGAAGGCGGCCUCCUGGGCUGUUUCUGACGCUGAGGCCCGAAAGCGUGGGGAGCAAACAGGAUUAGAUACCCUGGUAGUCCACGCCGUAAACGAGUGGACACUAGGUAUUGGG